GGGCUCAGCCUACUCCAUUUCCCCUCAGCUGAGCCUAGAGUAGAGGGGCCAGGCACCCACCCUCAUGGAAGAGAUAUCUGAGGAAGUAGCCUUGCCUGUGCUGGCCUAGCCUCACAUUU
ensembl:scaRNA